UCUACUUGACUAGCUGAGAGGAGGUGCAGUGGCCGUCGUCAGUUCGUACUGUGAAGCAUCCUGUUAAGUCAGGCAACGAGCGAGACCCACGCCAACAGUUGCCAGCUCGUCCUCCGGGAUGGUGGGGACACUGUUGGGACCGCCUCUGCUAAAGAGGAGGAAGGAAUGGGCAACGGUAGGUCAGCAUGCCCCGAAUUAUCUGGGCUACACGCGGGCUACAAUGGGUGGGACAAUGGGUAUCGACACCGAAAGGUGAAGGCAAUCUCCUAAACCCAUCCGUAGUUCGGAUUGUGGGCUGCAACUCGCCCACAUGAAGCUGGAAUCUGUAGUAAUCGUGUCUCAAAAUGGCACGGUGAAUAUGUCCCUGCUCCUU
rnacentral:rRNA from 1 species